rnacentral:rRNA from 1 species
UUCUUGUUUAUUCCGCCUAUAUACCGCCGUCGUCAGCUUACCCUGUGAAGGUUUAAUAGUAAGCACAACUGGUUUAACCCAAAACGUCAGGUCGAGGUGUAGCGAAUGAAAGGGGAAGAAAUGGGCUACAUUCCCUAAAAAUAGGGAAAACGAAUGACAUACUGAAAUGCAUGUCUGAAGGAGGAUUUAGUAGUAAGUGGAAAAUAGAGCGUCUCACUGAAACUGGCCCUGAAGCGCGCACACACCGCCCGUCACUCUCCCCAAGCUCACCAACUCAAUUAACUUAAAAAGCCCACUAAUGCAAAGGGGAGGCAAGUCGUAACAUGGUAAGGGUACCGGAAGGUGCACUUGGAAAAAC